rnacentral:rRNA from 1 species
GUGGACGUUCCGGAUUAUUGGGCGUAAGAGCUCGUAGGCGGUUUGUCGCGUCUGCCGUGAAAGUCCGGGGCUCAACUCCGGAUCUGCGGUGGGUACGGGCAGACUAGAGUGAUGUAGGGGAGACUGGAAUUCCUGGUGUAGCGGUGAAAUGCGCAGAUAUCAGGAGGAACACCGAUGGCGAAGGCAGGUCUCUGGGCAUUAACUGACGCUGAGGAGCGAAAGCAUGGGGAGCGAACAGGAUUAGAUACCCUGGUAGUCCAUGCCGUAAACGUUGGGCACUAGGUGUGGGGGACAUUCCACGUUUUCCGCGCCGUAGCUAACGCAUUAAGUGCCCCGCCUGGGGAGUACGGCCGCAAGGCUAAAACUCAAAGGAAUUGACGGGGGCCCGCACAAGCGGCGGAGCAUGCGGAUUAAUUCGAUGCAACGCGAAGAACCUUACCAAGGCUUGACAUGGGCCGGACCGGGCUGGAAACAGUCCUUCCCCUUUGGGGCCGGUUCACAGGUGGUGCAUGGUUGUCGUCAGCUCGUGUCGUGAGAUGUUGGGUUAAGUCCCGCAACGAGCGCAACCCUCGUUCCAUGUUGCCAGCGCGUAAUGGCGGGGACUCAUGGGAGACUGCCGGGGUCAACUCGGAGGAAGGUGGGGACGACGUCAAAUCAUCAUGCCCCUUAUGUCUUGGGCUUCACGCAUGCUACAAUGGCCGGUACAAAGGGUUGCGAUACUGUGAGGUGGAGCUAAUCCCAAAAAGCCGGUCUCAGUUCGGAUUGGGGUCUGCAACUCGACCCCAUGAAGUCGGAGUCGCUAGUAAUCGCAGAUCAGCAACGCUGCGGUGAAUACGUUCCCGGGCCUUGUACACACCGCCCGUCAAGUCACGAAAGUUGGUAACACCCGAAGCCGGUGGCCUAACCCCUUGUGGGAGGGAGCUGUCGAAGGUGGGACUGGCGAUUGGGACUAAGUCGUAACAAGGUAACC